GGGAGGAAACCAGAGCACCCGGAGGAACCGCACGCAGACACACGAACAUGCAAACUCCACACAGACUGAGCGGCGAUCAAACCCACGUCCUCUCGCACCACCCAGACGCUGUGAGAUAGUGCCACUAUGCCGCCCAUAGCUGAAUGUUCUUUAACAUUUAACAUCUUUAACAUUUUUGCCACCCCGUUCUUCUGUUGCUGUCACUGUUUCAUUAUUCCAGCUUUGUAUUGACAGGCUGUUGUGGAGAGAAGUGAUGGGAACAAUAAGCUCCACUUGAAUAACACAGAAGUCCAUCCUGGACAGAGAAGGAAACAUUAGUUUUUUCUACAAAAUCUAAUACCAAGAGGAGAUAAGCUGUGACAUGACUUCCCAGUUCCUUGCCCCAAGAGUAGACGCACUGGCGAGCCGUUAUACCAGCACAGUGCAGGGCACUGACCACAAUGAAGAAGGUACCUUCAGCCAUUGUAUUCCUCCAUUCAGACUCAGAAUUUGCAACUACUUGUCAAGAGAAUGGCACAACAGACUAGGACCUAGAAAGAUGGAAAUUGUGUCUAUUAGGUGCUGGGUGUCUUGAUCUUAAAUGUCUUUUUCGUAGAGCUUGAUACCGAGGCUCAAGUGCAGACUUCCAUCUUGGAGAGGGUGGGGCUCAACAGGUGUGUAGUCGAAAUGCACAAGUACGUAGGACCUGGGCCUCCGUAAGCGUGCGUGCGUCAAGGUACUCGUACUGAAUGUGCGGGCACUGUGUUCACCCAGUGUAUGCAUUCAGUGGUAAUGUGGCCCCGACUGUGUGCCCUCUUGUCAUGCUCAGUGUACCGAUGACUGAAGAGGAGGUGGAGGUAAGUUGACUUUGUUUACUGAAGUGUAUAGCGCUGCAUUUUCUGUAGUUUUUUGAAAAACCCUGAUCAAAUAUAAAACAUUCAUUUCCUUCUCUGAGAUGUGAACCUCUCCAAGCUCUGAAAUAGUGCAAGGCCCUUUUCCUUUUCUUUUGACAGAGUGCUUUCUUCCACCUGGCUCUGGCUUUUCGCUGUAACCAGUAUACCCUGCAAAAGAGGCUGCAGGCAGAGGAGCACGACCGCAUCGUGGCCCAAGAGAACCUCCACCUCGAGCUGGAGCGGAGCAGGGACACGCUACGGGU
rnacentral:lncRNA from 1 species